UUCUAUUUCAGUAUAAAAUGAUGAUGCUGAUAUUGACAUACUUGUGAGAGCUGCAGUAUUUGCUUGUGCUGGCACAGCUGGACAUCGAUGUACCACAACUAGACGUCUGAUUCUCCACGAGAAAGUCCAGGAUGAGGUUGUAGAGAGACUGAAGAAAGCAUAUGCUCAGAUUAAAAUUGGGGAUCCUUUAGAGCGGAGUACAAGCAGGAUUCAUCCCAAUAAAUGUACCAGAGACAUAUGACAUUUUAAAGGUAUUUGAUAUUUUGAUAGUGUAAG